CAAAUGGCAUGUUGUGAGAAGGCCUCAUUCUGUGUGAAGGCCACGUGACCUGGGGACUGAGGCACUCUUCUUGAUAUUCCUAGAUUGCUUUCCAUCGAAUUAGAAGCACCUCUUCCACAGAUUCACUUCUGCUAAUGGUAUUUUAGCUCAACACAAGCUUCAUCCAAUUUAUAUCAUCUUAUCUGUUUAAUGGUUAUGCUCUUUGACCCCUGGAUUCCAUCACUUUUUCCAGAAUGCUGUGUUUUGCAUGUUCAUAUGACUCUUAUGAUAUAGACAGAAGACCAUGCUGUUUGAAUUGUUUUUCUACAGGUAAAGAAAACCAAUUUUCAAGGACUUAAGCACCAAUUAUCAUUCCUCUUUUAUUCGACAAGCAUUGGCUAAUCACCUAUUUUAUCUAUUUUAUCUUGGACUUUAUGCUAUGAAUCACUAAGAUCACUCUUCUCAGGUGAUGCUCCCCCAAAACGUUUGAAAAUCAAGCAAGAUACUGUUAUCGAAAGCAUCAGAAAGCUGUUGUCCAGACUGUGUGUUUUACUUGCCUAAGAUGUCCAGGAGGAAGAUUACUCUGUUUCUUCUGAGAGAAAACCAAUCAACCGACCAACCUGUGAUUUCUAGGCAAUCUUCAAAACGAGAAGCUUUGAACAAGAAAAUGUGUUGACAUUAUAGUUCAUCCAUUUUGAAUGUAAUCUAUCUCCGAGGCGAUGAUAUACAUAUCGUUGUUACCUACCGAAGAGCAAAUAAA